AUUGAACGCUGGCGGCAGGCCUAACACAUGCAAGUCGAGCGGAAGAAGGGGGCUUGCUCCCGGAUUCAGCGGCGGACGGGUGAGUAACGCGUAGGAAUCUACCUGAUAGUGGGGGAUAACGUUUCGAAAGGAACGCUAAUACCGCAUACGUUCUGAGGAAGAAAGCAGGGGAUCGCAAGACCUUGCGCUAUCAGAUGAGCCUGCGUCCGAUUAGCUAGUUGGUGGGGUAAAGGCCUACCAAGGCGACGAUCGGUAACUGGUCUGAGAGGAUGAUCAGUCACACUGGAACUGAGACACGGUCCAGACUCCUACGGGAGGCAGCAGUGGGGAAUAUUGGACAAUGGGGGCAACCCUGAUCCAGCCAUGCCGCGUGUGUGAAGAAGGCCUUCGGGUUGUAAAGCACUUUAAGCGGGGAGGAAGGCUCUAUGGCUAAUAUCCAUGGGGAUUGACGUUACCCGCAGAAUAAGCACCGGCAAACUUCGUGCCAGCAGCCGCGGUAA
rnacentral:rRNA from 1 species